rnacentral:rRNA from 1 species
CCUACGGGAGGCAGCAGUGGGGAAUAUUGGGCAAUGGGCGCAAGCCUGACCCAGCAACGCCGCGUGAAGGAAGAAGGCUUUCGGGUUGUAAACUUCUUUUAUGAGGGACGAAACAAAUGACGGUACCUCAUGAAUAAGCCACGGCUAACUGCGUGCCAGCAGCCGCGGUAAUACGUAGGUGGCAAGCGUUAUCCGGAAUUAUUGGGUGUAAAGGGUGCGUAGACGGGAGUCUAAGUUAGUUGUGAAAUCCCUCGGCUCAACUGAGGAA